rnacentral:rRNA from 1 species
ACGCUGGCGGCGCGCCUAAUGCAUGCAAGUCGAGCGACGCAUGCUCGGUGGGUAACCACUGGGUAUGACGGAGCGGCGAACGGGUGAGUAUCACGUGAGUAACCUGCCCCGAAGACCGGGAUAGCCCGGGGAAACCCGGAUUAAUACCGGACACCCUCUCUGGAUCGCAUGGUCCGGUGAGGAAAGGCCUUUGUGCUUCGGGAUGGACUCGCGGCCUAUCAGCUUGUUGGUGAGGUAAAGGCUCACCAAGGCAACGACGGGUAGCUGGUCUGAGAGGACGAUCAGCCACACUGGGACUGAGACACGGCCCAGACUUCUACGGAAGGCAGCAGCAGGGAAUCUUGUCCAAUGGGCGAAAGCCUGAGACAGCGACGCCGCGUGAGGGAUGAAGGCCUUCGGGUUGUAAACCUCUUUCAGGAGGGACGAAAUUGACGGUACCUCCAGA